rnacentral:SRP_RNA from 1 species
UGGCUAGACUGGAGGGUUAGGAGUCCUCUGUAAACACAAAUCUCCUUUGGUGUAGUCGAAAUUUAGGAGGCGGCAUGUGGAUUUAAUUGCGGCCUGUAAAAUUAAUGCUGAAACUUCGUCCUGCAGGAUCAAUGGUGACAAAAGUCUUACUGGAGGGUAAUUCUCAAUUGUCUUAGUUUUGGGAACGUGUCAGGCCUGGAAAGGAGCAGCUCUACCAAUUACAGCUGAUGCUUGUAGAACCGCGAGGUGGAGUUAGUUUUGCAGAUAACUGUUAUUAAUGAAGUGUGUCCACUCC